GACAGAGGGGGCAAGCGUUGCUCGGAAUUACUGGGCGUAAAGGGCGCGUAGGCGGGAUGGCAAGUCGGUCGUGAAAUCCCUCGGCUCAACUGAGGAUCGUCGAUCGAUACUGCCGUUCUUGAGGAUUGCAGAGGAGACUGGAAUUCCCGGUGUAGCGGUGAAAUGUGUAGAGAUCAGGAGGAACACCAAUGGCGAAGGCAGCUCGCUGGAACGGUACUGACGCUGAGGCGCGAAAGCGUGGGGAGCGAACAGG
rnacentral:rRNA from 1 species